UCCUCCCUCAAACCUCGGGUUUGGUGUUGGACCCAAGUUGUGUAAACAACUGGUCUCAAAGACAAUGACGGCGUCCGUGGGACCCUCGGUGCAACGAGCUUUUAGGAGCACGCGUCGAGUUUCAAGGACCUUCCGGGCCGGUCUCCUUACUAUUCUACAA
rnacentral:misc_RNA from 1 species